rnacentral:rRNA from 1 species
GGAUGAGUUGCGAACGGGUGAGUAACGCGUAGGUAACCUGCCUCUUAGCGGGGGAUAACUAUUGGAAACGAUAGCUAAUACCGCAUAAAAGUCGAUAUCGCAUGAUAUUGAUUUGAAAGGUGCAAUUGCAUCACUAAGAGAUGGACCUGCGUUGUAUUAGCUAGUUGGUGAGGUAACGGCUCACCAAGGCGACGAUACAUAGCCGACCUGAGAGGGUGAUCGGCCACACUGGGACUGAGACACGGCCCAGACUCCUACGGGAGGCAGCAGUAGGGAAUCUUCGGCAAUGGGGGCAACCCUGACCGAGCAACGCCGCGUGAGUGAAGAAGGUUUUCGGAUCGUAAAGCUCUGUUGUAAGAGAAGAACGAGUGUGAGAGUGGAAAGUUCACACUGUGACGGUAACUUACCAGAAAGGGACGGCUAACUACGUGCCAGCAGCCGCGGUAAUACGUAGGUCCCGAGCGUUAUCCGGAUUUAUUGGGCGUAAAGCGAGCGCAGGCGGUUAGAUAAGUCUGAAGUUAAAGGCUGUGGCUUAACCAUAGUACGCUUUGGAAACUGUUUAACUUGAGUGCAGAAGGGGAGAGUGGAAUUCCAUGUGUAGCGGUGAAAUGCGUAGAUAUAUGGAGGAACACCGGUGGCGAAAGCGGCUCUCUGGUCUGUAACUGACGCUG